rnacentral:lncRNA from 1 species
UCGAAGGGCAGAUCAUCUUUCUCCUUCAUCUGCUUCGAAAUGAAAAAGAGGGGAAAUAUCCCUUUCUUCCCGUCUCACUCCCUCCCUCGAUGAACAACGGCAGCCACCUCCAUUUUGUCGGCGCUGUUCAGAUCCUGGCUUCACCGUAAGGAGGUCCGUUGCGGUGGCGGUCGCCUUUACCCCGAAGAAGGGAGAUUGGCGGCGAUUGGAGCCUAGGGGCGCGGUUUCGUGGCUGCGGCUGUUGGAUGGGGACCGGCCAGGAGGCGGCGCUCGCCGCCGGAUUAUUCGAGGGAGGAGAAGUAAGGUGGCCAGAUCUGUGGUUUUAUUUGUGGGAUCUGAAUCAGGGGAGAGGAGAGGAUGAGAUAAGACAGCGGCGGUUUCGAUUUGGGGAUCUGGGUGGUGCUGCUGUUCAAAUAGACGAUGGCGGUGACUGAUAUUGAAUGAGAGACGACAGAGAAGGAGAGAUACUCCGUCGAUUUUGCUAGGAGUCGAAACUGGGAGUGGCAGCUCCCUCUUUCUCUUCGAGUAUUAUCCCAACUCGAUGUGACUCGAUUUUCCAUGGGAUGUGACUCGAUGUCGACGGCAGCUGCUGAUUUGUGAAGCGAGGGAGACGAGCUGGGGGAGUCCCGGCUUUCCGUCGACCUCGAUAGCACCAUAUGAGAUGCAACAUCGUCGGCAGGCUGGAACGGAAUCUACAUAGGAGGUGAGUAUCACAAAUUUGACUUUUGCUCGUAUUUAUCUUUCACAAACUUGAAUCUGAUUCCAGAAAGAACGAAAUUGAUUCUUUUUAAGAGAAUUAUUGUAUUGUUGAUUACUUUGAGGCCUCCCAUGUCUGUAUGAAUUAAAUUUUAUUGUUAUUUUAAAAAAAAUAGCUUCUGUGGCAAUUGUGUAGCGGUUGAAUUGAUUUUGUUUUUGAAUUAGUAGUGUCGCAGCUGCUUGUACAUACAUUUUUCUUUUGAUUGUGAUGAAGUAUGGUCCUUUAUGUGAAGACAUAAAGUGGACUGAUCAUAGCCUCAUUUUAGAGUAUGUUGGAGAGAGUUUGAGGAAAUUGACAAUUUUUUCAAAUACUUCUUUUUCAGACUGUUGGUGUUUGAUUGAAUUUACUAUAAUGUAUUUUUCUGCAGACAAGAUAAAUUUGUGGCACCCCAUGUUUUACUUUUCCUUCCUCACUCUUGAUUUUUUUUUAAGCUGUGAGGAAGUGGGCGAGCUUGCAGCAGAGUGGAAGCAGUAGAGAGAUCAUUGUAGAGAUUUGUGGAUUCUCUUUUGUGUAAGAAGGAAUAACUCACCAUUGUUAUUUGUUCAUUUAUUUAUGGAUUUCUGUUUUGCUUUUUGGAGGUUUUGAGCUCUCCACAACAAAGGUUGGCUCAGGGAAGAAGUGCCCAGACGGAUCGAGACCUUAUGAGACGGUUGUAGGCUUCUUUUUUUGUGUUUCCCUUGUUGAAGCUAUCAUGUGUGACUUGUUGAUAGCUCUUAUUUGUUUAUUUGAUUGCUAUGUAGAAAUGAUUGCUUAGUAUUUGCUCAUCUGGUGAGCGAUAGUGUUAGGAUAAAAUUCUAACAGCUUUUUGUAUGUCGUCAUUCAUUUUGAAUGUGGCUAAAUUCUUUGUUCUGAGUGCGGAAAUUUCAGAUGUUGUAUCGUUAUUUUUUUUUUUUUCAUUGCAUCGUUUAAGACUUGACUAUUUAGAUGACUUCUUAGAUUGGCAUGUGCCUGUUUUAUCUCCAGCUUGAACUUUAGAUCAUUGGGUCGGUUUGAGCUAUUUAUCUUAUUAGGACAUUUCAUUUGUGAAUUUUCAGAAAGUCGACACUGCUAGAUAUCUGUGAGAUUUGAUGAAGUAAUCACAUUGAUUACUUUGGAUAUCAUAUUUGAUGAAGUAAUCACAUUGAUUAUGAUGGCUUCAAUGCAUGGAUUAAUGCAACGUAUUGCAGCUUGUAUAUUUUAGAAAUCAGCAUGUCAAAGAGGUGCAUAGACACGACAUGUCCUUUUAUUUUCAUUUCGUUUUGCCAGCUUGGAAUUGAUGUUGGAGAAUUUAUUGCAUCUAGAUAGAGCCAGACUGGACUCAUAUGUGACAUCUUGUAUGUGAUUUUCAUGUAUACACUUGUAUUUAUUUUUCCAAGCCGGGACGAGUUACUGUAGAGGUAGCAAAAUGAUCCCUCAAGAAUUGGAAUAAUACUUCUAAUUUUAUUUGGUAAUCCAAGUUGAAAUCGGUUGACACUUAGCCAACUUGUGAUUGCGUUUGACUUGGGCAAGUUGUGCCUCAUCUUGGUGUGCAAGGUAAUCAAAUAAUUUUAUGCAGCAUGCCAGUUUGGGAUUAUUUUUUGAAUCAAAUGCUGGAAAUGUAGAGUUGUCGGCUCUGAAUUGUCCAAGUCAAGUAUUUGAAAUUGAAGCAAGUUGGAAUUUAUUAUAUUUGGGUCGUACUGACUUCGACCGACUGUGGCUAGUGCCAUGUGGAUAUUUCAACAAAGUGGCUAAUUCUAGCUUUAUAAAAGAUAAAUGUUUACAAACUUUUUCUAUCUCGUUGAUUGCUCCAAGUUGGGUGGUUCGUUCAACUGGAUGACUAGGGGCCAAUGGUCUUGAAUUUUAUGUUGUGCUGAUGUUUACUUCCUCAAUGAUACAGGUUGGUUUCGACCAUGUAGACGAGUCGUCGUUGGCGACUUAUGUCUCGCAAAGUGCUAGCAUCGUGGAGCAAGUUGAGACAUGUCGAUUUGAGGUUGGUGGCUGCACUCCGGAGAGUUGCCUACAUACCUCUUGCGAGGAUCAAGCCAAAUAUAGUUCUUGGGCCGGACUGGGCUCCGUAGAGCCAUGCUCCGUAGAGUUGCCUACAUACCCUUUGGCGGGAUCAAGUCCGAUGUAGUUCCGACUUGGCCUGGGUAAAAUUGUUAGUAACAGUGUGGAAAAAAUUAUAAACUUCAUGAAAAAAUAAGUAAUCGAAUGGAAAGUUUAGAAAUGAUAAGACCGAAGAUGGAUGGCGUUCCAGUUGUUGCUGAUGUCGCGCCCAUCUUUCUCCUGCAGCUUGUAAGCGCCAUUGCUGAACACCUUGGUGAUCAAGUAUGGACCCUCCCAGGUUGGACCCAGCUUGCCAGCUCCGAUCUCCUUGGUGUUUUGGAAUACACGUCGGAGUACCCAAUCGCCCAGCUUGAACCUCCGAG